rnacentral:rRNA from 1 species
UGGGGAAUUUUGGACAAUGGGGGAAACCCUGAUCCAGCCAUCCCGCGUGUGCGAUGAAGGCCCUCGGGUUGUAAAGCACUUUUGGCAGGAAAGAAACGUCAUGGGUUAAUACCCCGUGAAACUGACGGUACCUGCAGAAUAAGCACCGGCUAACUACGUGCCAGCAGCCGCGGUAAUACGUAGGGUGCAAGCGUUAAUCGGAAUUACUGGGCGUAAAGCGUGCGCAGGCGGUUCGGAAAGAAAGAUGUGAAAUCCCAGAGCUCAACUUUGGAACUGCAUUUUUAACUAACGGGCUAGAGUGUGUCAGAGAAAGGUGGAAUUCCGAGUGUAGCAGUGAAAUGCGUAGUUAUGCGGAGGAACACCGAUGGCGAAGGCAGCCUCCUGGGAUAACACUGACGCUCAUGCACGAAAGCGUGGGGAGCAAACAGG